GUUGAGGGGAAUGUUGGCUGGCUCGAGGCUUUUUCUCAAAGGAGGUUCUCACUGGCAAGAACUAUAAGGCUUCGGACCAGGCUUCAUUCCCCUCAAA
rfam:Glycine soja cultivar W05 scaffold4608_36, whole genome shotgun sequence.